GGACUACUAGUGGCGGACGGGUGAGUAACGCGUGGGUAACCUGCCUCACACGUGGGGGAUAGCAGUUGGAAACGACUGAUAAUACCGCAUAAGCGCACAGCAUCGCAUGAUGCAGUGUAGAAAAACGUCCGGGGGUGUGAGAUCGGACCCGCGUCUGAUUAGCUAGUUGGCGAGGUAACGGCCCACCAAGGCGACGAUCAGUAGCCGGCCUGAGAGGGUGUACGGCCACAGUUGGGACUGAGACACCGGACCCAAACUCCUACGGGGAGGCAGCAGGUGGGGAAUAUUGGACAAUGGGGGAAACCCUGAUCCAAGCGACGCCGCGUGGGCGAUGAAGUAUUUCGGUAUGUAAAGCUCUAUCAGCAGGGAAGAUAAUGACGGUACCUGACUAAGAAGCACCGGCUAAAUACGUGCCAGCCGCCGC
rnacentral:rRNA from 1 species